AUUGAACGCUGGCGGCAUGCUUUACACAUGCAAGUCGAACGGCAGCGCGGGCUUCGGCCUGGCGGCGAGUGGCGAACGGGUGAGUAAUGCAUCGGAACGUGCCCAGUAGUGGGGGAUAGCCCGGCGAAAGCCGGAUUAAUACCGCAUACGACCUGAGGGUGAAAGCGGGGGACCGAAAGGCCUCGCGCUAUUGGAGCGGCCGAUGUCGGAUUAGCUAGUUGGUGGGGUAAAGGCUUACCAAGGCGACGAUCCGUAGCUGGUCUGAGAGGACGACCAGCCACACUGGGACUGAGACACGGCCCAGACUCCUACGGGAGGCAGCAGUGGGGAAUUUUGGACAAUGGGGGCAACCCUGAUCCAGCCAUGCCGCGUGCGGGAAGAAGGCCUUCGGGUUGUAAACCGCUUUUGUUCGGGAAGAAAUCCUCUGGGCUAAUACCCCGGGGGGAUGACGGUACGGGAAGAAUAAGCACCGGCUAACUACGUG
rnacentral:rRNA from 1 species